rnacentral:rRNA from 1 species
AUUGAACGCUGGCGGCAGGCCUAACACAUGCAAGUCGAGCGGAGCGGCGGACGGGUGAGUAAUGCCUCGGAAUCUGCCUGGUAGUGGGGGAUAACGUCCCGACACGGGCGCUAAUACCGCCUACUAUCAGAUAAGCCUAGGUCGGAUUAGCUAGUUGGGUGGGUAAAGGCCUAACAAGGCGACGAUCCGUACCUGGUCUGACAGGAUGAUCAGUCACACGGGAACGGAGACAGUUUCCAGACACCUACGGGAGGAAGCAGUGGGGAAUAUUAGGCAAUGGGCGAAGGCCUGAUCCAGACAUGCCGCGGGUGUGAAGAAGGUCUCCGGAUUGUAAAGCACUUGAAGUUGGGAGGCGUUACCAACAGAAUAAGCACCGGCUAACGUCGUGCCAGAAGCCGCGGUAAUUC